rnacentral:snRNA from 1 species
GUGCUCGCUUUGGCAGCACAUAUACUAAAAUCGGAACGAUACAGAGAAGAUUAGCAUGGCCCCUGCGCACGGAUGACAUGCAAACUCGUGAAGCGUUUAAAAAAUUU